GGAAUGCUGAUCCAGAGUCUGCCCCUACAACUAGUUGGUCCCAAGACGAAAAGCAAAAAUGAUCGCCUGUCAGCGCAUUGAGCACGAUGUCUCUUCCACAGGAAGGCACUCCCUGUUAUACGUGUCCUGAUCAGGGAGUAGAAUGAUGGCGCUCAGCACUAGCCCUGGAAAGACAUCUCCACCCACACACAAACACUGAGAGAAGCAGAGGGAUGUUCCACUGCCUACAUGGAGAGAUAAGAAUGGCACCAGAGAGGACCUGCACCAUUGUUGCUGUCACAGUGGUAUUGCAGAAUAGCUGCGUGAAGAAGAGGCUGCCCCAUCCCAUGACUGAGCCAGGGCACAGGAAAACCAUAGGGAACCUGCUGGUCCAGAAAACAUCAAAGGUCGACUGGUCCGGAAUCAAAUCAUCGAUCAAAUGUAGCCAAUAGGUCUAGGUUAAAUGAGAGACGUAGAAACUUAUAUAACCAGCAUAACCAAUCAAUAAAUAUAUACGUUGUAACAAUUAAAAAGCAUAUCUUCCUUUCCUUCCUUCAGUCUUGAAAGUCUUACAGGCAGUAUUUACAAAUGCAAAUACUACACUUAAAAUGAUUGUAAAUCAAAUAGGCCUAUUCAAUGUACAAUUUCUUAUUAUUGCUCGCGCUACAAUUAACUGCUGCUGUUGUUGCUCAAGGAACCUAAUUUCCAAAUGUAAUUUAUUUUUCUCAAGCUCUAAUUUGUAUUU